rnacentral:lncRNA from 1 species
CAAAGUUGACUGGAGAUAUAUUUUGAACAGUGCACACUCAUGGGAUGAGAAGUCUUACUGACGAAUUUGAGUGAGGAACGACGACGAACUGGGGCUGCGGAGCUGAGUGGUGAUCCGAGAGCAAAGGACCGAGAGGGGCAUUGGUACAAUGCACAUCUAGGAGCUUUAGCUCCGCCAAGUAAGGGACGUGAUUCUUCCUGUGUUCCCCUUACACUACUCUCUCUCUCGGCCAUUCUGCCAUGACACUGAAAGCCACUAAUGUUGGCAGGUUUCCCUGGCGUCUGUCUCCCGCUUGUUCAGCACCGGAGGCGGGGCCAUCGGUGACGUCGCCGAGCAGAGUCUCAGACAGGGCGCGUUCCAGGACAGGGAGCUGUGCGGAUCUGGAUAUCUCCAGACAAAGACAUGUAUUUUAUUUUUGUGGGGAUAUGGUUCUCGUUGGGCCCUAGAAAUCAAUAACCAGGGGCCUCCUCCUACUACCAAUUGGAUACCACGAAAUUGGGGAGAAAAAAGGGGUAAAAAGAAAUCAAUAACCUAUCCCCAGCCACUUUAUAUGUUGUCGGUCUUUUUCCCUGCCUGUUUUGUCACAUAGCAGUAGAGGGUCCUUUAGAGGGGUUGGCGGAGUAGAGCACGGCCAAGGGUUGGUCCCAUAUUGUGUGCAGCACUAGAGUGAAAUUGUAGUGCCUUUCACGUUAUUGUUUGCAAUGCCUUCCCUUCAAAUAACUAUUGUUGCUGUGCCAUAUCAGAAUAAUUCAGUGUGAGUGAGAUUUGUUGUGCUUUUUACCAUAUUGUUGCAGUGCUGUAUCAGAAUAAUUCUGUGUGUUGCAGGGUCACUUUCGCAUGGCUGAUACUUACCUGAGGGAUUAAGGGGGAGGGUAACCUACCUGAGGGGAAGCUCUGUCGACAAAGCCCGGGAAAUCGUACAGUCUGCUGUGGGGUAACGGGGUCUGAUCCAUGUUAUGUCCACAAAUUUAAAAUAAAACUUACCUUGAGCAUA